AGCGUCGGUCCGCACUCCCUGUGACCCAGGACGUCAUGAUGCCUGUCUGUUUUCUCAAUGAUAACUUGGCAGAAGAAGACAGAGGCUGCCAGGUUCUCCUCGGGUGGUUACUUGAUCUUAUUUGAUAUGAAUGCAUUUUUUUGCCUGGAUGCCUUAAUCUCCUGGUUAGCUUGAAUUAAAUCAUGAAGUUAGUUAAAGAGCACAGGUUUACAGUGAAGAGACUCAGGGGUUAGAACCAGAGCAGGAUCACCUACAUAUUUCUUCAUUGCAACUAACUCUGGGAAAGCCUUUCUCCGCGUUCCUUUCCUUAUUUAUCUCUAUUGAAUACUUAUAAUUCCUUGACCCUCUCCAGUUUUUGUUAGGAUAAAAUGAAAUAGCAGAAGAGAAAGCACUCUUCCAACAUAACAAAAUAUUAUCAUGGCAGAUGGACCAUAUUUUACACCAGAGUUGAUUUUCUAAAAAAUUUUACAAAGUUAAUAGAAACUAAGGUCCCCUAGCUGAGAAUCUCAGUUAACUUCUAUUUACUACUUAUAGGACUUCACAAAGGUCUAUAGCUAGCUGAAGGAAGAAUCAGGAUGAUUGUGCAGAAAUCACUUUGUCCCAGGCCACGCUCAAGGCCUGGUACACACCGUGGGAAAAUAGUACAGCCAAUUGCAACAACCAGGACCAGGGUAAUUAGGAUACCUAUUUAAAAUAAAUUUAUACCAUGCGUCUCUCAUGAAAAAAAUAAAAACGUUUGCAUGAGGCAAGGGCGCUCAAGCCAGACUGCAUGAUAGCUCUAGUCUAGGGAUCCAUGGACCGAUCAAGUCUUAAGGUUGUAGGCAAAGUAUGUGUAUGGGUAUGUGGGUGCACAAGUGCGCGGGCAAGCAUGCCUGCAAGUGACGCCAUUAUUCUCAAGAAAAGGCGGAUAACUUUCAUCACAUUCUGAGGAGGGAUCAUGACUCCAGAAAGGUUAAGAACCACUGAGGGCUUUCUGGAGUUCUUCAUUUCAAGGCUCUGUUUUUCAUUCGAGAUAGUGCAUUCGCUGCCUGGGUUCAGAAGGGAGUAAGACUCUUCUUUGGCAACCAGGUUCAACUGGAAAAAUCAUCAAGAUGUCACCUGAUGCCGCAUGUUACAACUAUGUUCUCAGCUAUGUGACCCUGCCAGUUGUUGAACCAGCAGAGGUAACUCAGCGUCAUGGAAAGAACACUUAAACUUGGAGUCAGAACACUUGAUUGGGAGUCUAAUUUCUGCCUCUUACUGCUGUUGUGAUCCUGGGAAAGUCAUUCAACUGCUUCCACCCUGGAUUUCCUCCUUGGCAACUGCCCUCGGGGAAUGAUCCCUCCGGCACUGGUGUCCUCGUGACUACCAGUUGGGUAGAGUGAGGAAACCCAACCACAUGCUUCAAAAUUCCCCUCCUGGAUGAACUCUUCUAGGAUGUCCUCUCCCACUCUCCUCUCUGUGACAGCCCAGUGGGCCCCACCACCCCUCUCCCCCACCUCCAUCAACACACUUCCAUGACUAUACUCACCUUACUUGAAUUAUUGUUCAUAUGUCUGCCUUUGCUGCUCAGUGGUAACUGCCUUCAGUGUAACAGAGAUUUUAGUUAUCUUUUAUUCCUAGUGCCUAACACACAGUAGGUGCUCCACGAAUGUUAAAUGAAUAAACUGUUAUCAGGGGAGAGCA